UCUUAUCCUAUACUUACUUUCUAGCCCGUAUGACGUGUAUUUCACUAUUAAUUACUUUGCAGGAGCUCUGGAUUCCCUUAAGACAGUGAUGCUGGGCUGAAGAAUCUUUUAAUGGUACCCUUAUUAUUAAAUUGCCUUAAAAAGAAUGGAAUGUAUGGGCCAAAUUCUUAUCCUAAACUUACUUCCUAGGCUUCAUAACGUGUAUUUUACUAUUGUUUGCCUUGCAGGAGCCCUGGAUUCCCUCAAAACUGAUGCUGGGCUGAAGGAUCUCUUGCUACAGAUGGAGGGAGGAGACUGUGUCCUUUCUACACAUUUUCAGGGCGUCUACUCUGUCCAUACAUACCUUGUAGGAAAUAACAAUAGUAAAAGUAGUAGUAGUAGUAGUUUUUCUAUCAAGGGAGGCAGCUGAAGGGCAAAAAAACAACAAAGAACAUUGAAAAAAUUAGCCUGCCAAACCCUGCCCUAGCAAAAGCAUGAGAGGUCACGAGAGGUCAACUUCAGGUGGAGAGGUGUCUAGUAAUAUAUAAGUUAUCCAUUGGGAGAAAUAUAGCAUAGUAGUAGUAGUAGUUGAGGUGUCUAGUAAUAUAUAAGUUAUCCAUUGGGAGAAAUAUAGCAUAGUAGUAGUAGUAGUUGAGGUGUCUAGUAAUAUAUAAGUUAUCCAUUGGGAGAAAUAUAGCAUAGUAGUAGUAGUAAUGACAGACGGGGUGGAGAUAUCUUUUUAUUGUGUAUGUAUAUAUAUAAUUUCUGUACACUGUGGAAGUUGGCCGUGGAUUCCUGGACAAACGGCCUCGAGAAACACGUCACCCAAAUUCACCCCAAGAGCCACCAGUUUUUCGGUUGUGGGACGCUGACCGACAAUAAUAAUAAUAAUGAUAAUAAUAAUAAUAAUGAUAAUAAUAAUGAUAAUGAUACACUGACCAGUUCAAAAGUUGUGGUGAUGAUGGUACUGGAUAGAGACAGGAUAACAAUGAUGAUGAUGAUGGGAAUGAUGAGGAUGGUGACAAUAAUAAUAAUAAUAAUAAUAAUAAUAAUAAUAAUAAUAAUAAUAAUAAUAAUAAGACAGUCAUCCCUUGGUUCUCACAGCUUAAGGUAUUUGUGGAUUUGCUUUUUUGUCUUGGCAAUAAAAUAAAGAAACUAAAUAAAAAAAUAAUUAAAAAUGAAAGUAUGUAUAUAUAUCCUGAUUUUGUGCAUUGAAUUCCACUUUUGUGCCAUAAAUUCUGUUCAGUAUAAUCCUUUUACUUUGUGCCAUAAAUUCUGCAAUAAAUUCUUCAUCCUUGUGCCAUAAAUUCUUCCACUUUUGUGCCAUAAAUUCUGUUCAGCAUAAUUCUUUUACUUUGUGCCAUAAAUUCACUAUACUCUUAACUGCUCCCUUCUCUGUUCCAAGUUUAGCUCAGUUCAAGAAGGAAAGACAGCCGUGCUCUCUCCUGGCAUCUAUUCUUUCAUGGGUCUUAUAACUCCUGUGAAAAUCAAGGGAUGGCUUCAUAAUUUAGCUCCUUGGUGUGGGGUGUAGGUGAGAAAUGGAGGAGGUAGGUAGGUAAGGAGGAAGAGAGGGAGGAAGGGAGAGGAGGAGGGAGGGAAGGGCAGACAGAGUGAGCCUUCAGAGCCUAAAUGAGACUAGAAAAUGUACAAAACACACAAAAAAUUAGGCACUGUGAAGGCUUCUGUCUAAAGUGUCAACAAACCAAAGUACAGAAGAAAAUACAUCCACAUAAUGAAGGUGAUCCUGAUGUUGUUAUUUGGUUGUGUAUGACGAGUGUUUGCCGGGGCAGAAAAAACACUAAAAAAACGAUGAUAAAUUAGAACUUCCUGUAGUAACGCACUAACUUAAUGGGAACGAGUGAAGUAUAUACAAAAGAUGGGUCUGUUAGGCUGCCUUUGAGUGGUAAUGAUUAAGGAACGGUUGGGUAGCUUGGGGUCUGCUGGUGAGGGGGGUGUAAGGGGGGGGGAGUUAUCCAUGGAGGCUGUCAGUUAUCAAUGGGGUCUGUCAGUUAUCCACAGGGGCUGCGUGACGAUACAGACUUGUCAAAUUUACCGUAACAUCAAGUAUCAUUCUCUUUGUCAUAGAAUUAACCGACAGGGCUGAAGGUAUCUCUAUGGGUUACUCAGCCACUCCCCUAACUAUGCCACUUGUAAGGAGGAAAUGAGACAGUCUAAUCAUAACUACAGCAAGGAGUUUCAACAAAUAUCAAAUACGAAUAUUGAAUUGUCUAGACGAAAUAUACGAACCUGGUCAAAUUAAUUGUACGUAAUGCCAGUGUGAGUGUUGCUGUGCCUAGCCGUAUGAAAGGAGGUCACAUAAUAGCAAUUUUAAAGGUUCUUCCACCUCUUAUGAUGUACUUUUUGAUAUCCAUUUUGUAGUAAGGUGACCAGAACUGAACCACUUAACCAAGGUGACUCUACCCCCGCCGAACUGCCAGAAAAAGAAAGUCUCGUAAUAGUAGAAUUUUAAAGGUUCUUCCACCUCUUAUGACUUACUCCCUGACAUCCAUUCUAUAGUAAGAUGACCAGAACUAAACUGCAUAACCAAGGGCACUCCACCCCCCCCUCACGCCUCACCAGGUAACAGAUACACAGGUACGUAAUUUAGCAGCAAUGUGACGCAACAAUAGCUUGAAAAAAUAUAUAUAUACAGGUACUGGGGACACCCUUACUCUGGGGUCCCACUCUUUAAGUAAACAAGGAUGAGGCGAUGGAGGGACUGUGUGUGAUGGGUGAAUGGAUGAGUGAAUGGGUGAUGUGAGGAGAGAGAGAGAGAGAGAGAGAGAGAGAGAGAGAGAGAGAGAGAGAGAGAGAGAGAGAGAGAGAGAGAGAGAGAGAGAGAGAGAGAGAGAGAGAGAGAGA